rnacentral:rRNA from 1 species
UACGGAGGGAGCUAGCGUUGUUCGGAAAUACUGGGCGUAAAGCGCACGUAGGCGGCGCAGCAAGUCAGGGGUGAAAGCCCAGGGCUCAACCCUGGAAUUGCCUUUAAGACUGCAUCGCUUGAAUUGUGGAGAGGUAAGUGGAAUUCCGAGUGUAGAGGUGAAAUUCGUAGAUAUUCGGAAGAACACCAGUGGCGAAGGCGGCUAUCUGGACGGUUUCUGACACUAAGACUCGAAAGCGUGGGGAGCAAACAGG